GCUGGGCGUGGUGGCGCGUGCCUGUAGUCCCAACUACUCGGGAGGCUGAGGUGGGAGGAUCGCUUGAGCCCAGGAGUUCUGGGCUGUAGUGCGCUAUGCCAAUCGGGUGUCCGCACUAAGUUUGGCAUCAAUAUGGUGAACUCCCGGGAGCAGGGGACCACCAGGUUGCCUAAGGAGGGGUGAACCAGCCCAGGUCGGAAACGGACCAGGUCAAAACUCCCGUGCUGAUCAGUAGUGGGAUUGUGCCUGUGAAUAGCCACUGUACUCCAGCCUGGGCAACAUAGCAAGACCCUAUCUCU
rnacentral:SRP_RNA from 1 species